rnacentral:rRNA from 1 species
CCUACGGGGGGCUGCAGUGAGGAAUAUUGGUCAAUGGGCGGGAGCCUGAACCAGCCAAGUCGCGUGAAGGAAGAAGGUACUUAGUAUUGUAAACUUCUUUUGUCGGGGAACAAAGGCGGAGACGCGUCUCCGGAUGAGUGUACCCGAAGAAAAAGCAUCGGCUAACUCCGUGCCAGCAGCCGCGGUAAUACGGAGGAUGCGAGCGUUAUCCGGAUUUAUUGGGUUUAAAGGGUGCGUAGGCGGACUGGAAAGUCAGCGGUAAAAUCGAGAGGCUCAACCUCUUUCCGCCGUUGAAACUGUCGGUCUUGAGUGGGCGAGAAGUAUGCGGAAUGCGUGGUGUAGCGGUGAAAUGCAUAGAUAUCACGCAGAACUCCGAUUGCGAAGGCAGCAUACCGGCGCCCGACUGACGCUGAGGCACGAAAGCGUGGGUAUCGAACAGGAUUAGAUACCCUUGUAGUC